GACGAACGCUGGCGGCGCGCUUAACACAUGCAAGUCGAGCGAGACCCAGGACUUCGGUCCUGGGGACAGCGGCGAACGGGUGAGGAACACGUGGAUAACCUGCCCUCGGCACCGGGAUAGCCCGGGGAAACCCGGAUUAAUACCGGAUGGCCCUUUCGGCUUUCGAGCCGGUCGGAAAAGGUAGCUUCGGCCUCCGGCCCAGGAGGGGUCCGCGGCGGAUUAGCUUGUUGGUGGGGUAACGGCCUACCAAGGCCCCGAUCCGUAGCUGGUCUGAGAGGACGAUCAGCCACACUGGAGCUGAGACACGGCCCAGACUCCUACGGGAGGCAGCAGUGGGGAAUCUUGCGCAAUGGGCGAAAGCCUGACGCAGCGACGCCGCGUGAGGGAGGAAGGCCUUCGGGUUGUAAACCUCUUUCAGGAGGGACGAAGCUACUCGGGUGAAUAGCCCAGAGGGUGACGGUACUUCCAGAAGAAGCCCCGGCUAACUACGUGCCAGCCGCCGCGGUAACAC
rnacentral:rRNA from 1 species